rnacentral:lncRNA from 1 species
CCAUUCAUCCCUAUUGACCCCAUGGCCCCAUUCACCCCCAUUGUCCUCUAUGGUUCCAUUCAUCCCCAUUACCUUCUAUGGCUCCAUUCAUUCCUAUUGCCCCCUAUGGCCCCAUUCACCCCCAUUGCCCCCAUUCAUCCCAUUCCUGCCUUGUACCCCCAUAUUUUGUAAAUAAAGCGGCGUUUCUUCACCAUUUUCAGCCCAUUUCUGGUUUCAUCCCAAAUGUUCCAGGUACGGGAACCCAAAAUGGGCCCAAAUGAACCCAAAUGAACCCAAAACGAACCAAAUCAGCCCAAAAUGGACCAAAAUGGGCCCAAAUGAGCCAAAAUGGGCCCAAAUGAACCUAAAAUGAACCCAAAUCGCCCCAAAAUGGGCCCAAAUGAAUCCAAAAUGAAGCCAAAUGGGCCAAAAUGGGCCCAAAAGACCCCAAAAUGAACCAAAAUCGCCCCAAAAUGGGCCCAAGUGAACCCAUAACGAACCCAAAUUAGCCCAAAAUGGGCCCAAAUUGCCCCAAAAUGGGCCUAAAUGAACCCAAAAUGAACCCAAAUGAACCUAAAAUGGGCCCAAAUCAGCCCAAAAUGACCCCAAGUGACCCCCGGAAAAAGCCCCCAGGGGGCGGGGUGAGCGAGGGGAGCCAAUGGGAGCGUGGGCGGGGUGCGGGCAGCCAAUCAUCUGUAAGACGGGGCGGUGCUAAGGCGCGUGGGAGCGGAAUCAACCAAUGAGCAUCGCGGGGGGGCGGAGCUGGGCGGGGAGAACCAAUCAGCGGCUCAACAUCGGGCCGGGCCGAGGGCUGGUGGGAAACAACCAAUGAGAAUCACCGGAAGUGAGACGAGAACACAAACAUCCGGUUGGAUCCAACCAAUCAGCGUCGCCGUGCGGCUGUAAUGGCGGCCGCCAUGUUGGAGCGCUCGGUUGGGCCCGGCCCGGCCCCGCCGCCCCCCCCGGGGGUUCAGCCCCAACCGGGGAACAGCCCGGCCCGGCCCGUGCACAUGAACCUGUUCGCGGCCUGGGACGUGGAUCGCAGCUCACCGGCAUGUGUGCCCCGGCUGCUCAGUCUGACGCUGCAGCGGCUCGUGCUGCUCCGUGACAAAGAACCGGGAAACGUCGUUGGUGAUCGGCCGUUUAACUGCAGGUGUGGGGGGGAACCGGGAGGGGAUGUACACGGGAGGGGGUACGGGGAUAUGGGGGGGUUGGGGGU